UACAGAGACUGCAAGCGUUAUUCGGAUUCACUGGGCGUAAAGGGUGCGCAGGCGGCCAAGUGUGUGAGGCGUGAAAGCCCGGGGCUUAACCCCGGAAUUGCACCUCAAACUACAUGGCUAGAGCAUUGGAGAGGGUAGCGGAAUUCACGGUGUAGCAGUGAAAUGCGCAGAUAUCCGGAGGAACACCGGUGGCGAAGGCGGCUUCCUGGGACCGACACUGACGCUGAGGCGCGAAAGCUAGGGGAGCAAACGGG
rnacentral:rRNA from 1 species